AGCGAACGUUUGCGGCGGGCCUAACACAUGCAAGUCGAACGGGCAGUCCCUUCGGGGGCUGUCAGUGGCGCACGGGUGCGUAACACGUAGGUAAUCAACCCUCGGGUUCGGGAUAACACUUCGAAAGGGGUGCUAAUACCGGAUGCGACGAGCGUCUCCUCGGAGAUGCACGGGAAAGAUCCGCAAGGGUCGCCCGAGGACGAGCCUGCGGCCCAUCAGCUUGUUGGUGAGGUAAUGGCUCACCAAGGCUAAGACGGGUAGCUGGUCUGAGAGGAUGAUCAGCCACACUGGCACUGAGAUACGGGCCAGACUCCUACGGGAGGCAGCAGUGAGGAAUAUUGCGCAAUGGGCGAAAGCCUGACGCAGCGACGCCGCGUGGGGGAUGAAGGUUUUCGGAUUGUAAACCCCUUUCAUGAGGAAAGAUAAAGUGGGUAACCACUUAGACGGUACCUCAAGAAGAAGCCACGGCUAACUUCGUGCCAGCAGCCGCGGUAAUGUCGUACGAUC
rnacentral:rRNA from 1 species